AUACGUAGGGGGCGAGCGUUGUCCGGAAUUACUGGGCGUAAAGAGCUCGUAGGUGGUUUGUCGCGUCGUCUGUGAAAUUCCGGGGCUUAACUCCGGGCGUGCAGGCGAUACGGGCAUAACUUGAGUACUGUAGGGGAGACUGGAAUUCCUGGUGUAGCGGUGAAAUGCGCAGAUAUCAGGAGGAACACCGGUGGCGAAGGCGGGUCUCUGGGCAGUAACUGACGCUGAGGAGGGAAAGCAUGGGUAGCGAACAGGAUUAGAUACCCUGGUAGUCCAUGCCGUAAACGGUGGGCGCUAGGUGUAGGGGUCUUCCACGACUUCUGUGCCGUAGCUAACGCAUUAAGCGCCCCGCCUGGGGAGUACGGCCGCAAGGCUAAAACUCAAAUGAAUUGACGGGG
rnacentral:rRNA from 1 species